CGAGGCAUAUAGAGGUUCCCAGGCUAGGGGUCAAAUCAGAGCUGUAGCUGCCAGCCUACACCACAGCCACAGCAAUGGGGAUCCCAGCUGCGUCUGCAACCUACACCACAGUUCACAGCAACACUGGAUCCUUAACCCACUGAGCAAGGCCAGGGAUCAAACCUUCAUCCUCAUGGAUACUAGUCAGGUUUGUUUCCACUGAGCCACAAUGGGAACUCCUGAAAUUCAAAUGGUUUCUCUUUGGCCAGAGGAAACCUGUUCAGGUUGGCCAGGGGCGGGGAGGGGGGUCCUUCUUAAUGAUGGGGGCCUCCCUUCUCUCCUCUAACCUGAAGAGAAAUCCUACUUUCCCCUCCCUUUGCUCCUGGGACUCUUGAGCACAAAGUUAAAAACAUCCCUUCCCUGUAGCUCUAGUUCUGCCUCUGGCUGUGAGCUUUCUCAACGACAUGUGUCUGUGUAUCUCAAGAAUGCAUCUUCCUCUUGCCAGAAGUAUCUGGAUUCACUUGCUAAAAAGUCAAGGUCAACCGUCAGGGCUAAGAGGACCCUAAGAAGACAGGACAGCUACAUGUCACAUGAUGUCCUAGAUGGGAUCCUGGAACAGAAAAAGGACGUUAGGUAAAAGCUAAGGAAAUUGGAACAAAGCAUGGCUACUAAGAGUGAAACAAUCAUUAAUUGUUACGAACGUACCGUACUAAAAGGUGUUAGAGGUUAAUAAUAAAGGAAACUGGUAUGGGUUAUAUGGGAACGCCCUGCAUUAUCUUUGCAAUUUUUCUGUAACUCUAAAACUGCUCUAAAAUCAAAAGUUUGUUUAAAAAAGAAGAAGAAACUCAUUGACUUGGAGAACAGACUUGUUGCCAAGGAGGAGAGGGAGGGAGUGGGAUGGACUGGGAGUUUGGUGUUAGCAGUUGCAAACUAUUGGGUUUGCAGUGGAUAAGCAAUGAGAUCCUGCUGUAUAGCCCUAGGAACUAUAUCUAGUCACUUGGGAUGGAGCAUGGUGGAGGAUAAUGUGAGAAAGAGAGAGAGAGUAUGUGUGUGUAUGUGUAUUUAAAGGGUAAUUCCAAAGAACACAAAGAAUGGAAAGGUAGAGGAAUAGUGGGGGAAAAAAAGGAACAGCCAAGUUUUGGAAGCUGAGGGUAGUUUGUUGGAUGAGGGGAAAAUGCUUCAAUGGAGCAGAAAAAUGCAACCCUCGGUGUUGCUGAGCAGACUCCAACAAAGGAUCAAGGAAGGAAAUCAAGAAAGGGUUGAGACAUGGGACCCAGGAAACAGGUACUAAUAUAGGGACAGUAGGUGAGAGGAGACCCCAGGGAGAGUGCCACGUAGCACACGUGAGAGCCACCAGCAUGGGCAGGCAUAGGAGGAGAGGGCUCUGGGGAAAACUCCUGGAGUUUAGGAAAAAAGAAACAGCAGCAGCAUUUAUUAACUCUAGGAAAUACUGUUUUAAGUAUUAAGAAAUGACUGUAUUGUUCUACGAGCCUCAGUUGUGAAGGAUAUUGGCAGUCAUGUAGGAGAAAUGCUGAAUAUCUAUUUAAUUUCAAAAAAUGCUAUAGUUGGAGUUCCUCUUGUGGUGCAGGGGAAAUGAAUCUGACUAGGAACCAUGAGGUUGUGGGUUCAAUCCCUGUCCUCACUUACUGGGUUAAGGAUCCCGAGUGGCUGUGACUGUGGUGUAGGCCAGCAACUAUAGCUCCGAUUCAACCCCUAGCCUGGGAACUUCAAUAUGCCAUGGAUGUGGCCCUGAAAAGCAAAAUAAUAAUAAUAGUAAUAAUAAGGAGUUCCCUGGUGGUCUAGUGGUUAGGAUUUGGCACUUUCGCUGUUAUGGUCUGGGUCCGAUCCCUGGUCUGGGAACUGAACUAAGAUGCCACAUUAAGCUGUUGCUUACUGCAGCCAAAAAAUAGUGAUGAUCUGUGGUUCCCAGGAACAUGCAUAGGAUAUGUGUGGUAUACAUACAUAGCAGUCAUUUAAUAAAACUCGAUUGCAAGUUCCUUCAAAAAAAAAAUAAUGAUGAUGAUGAUUGUUAAAUAAAAAGACAGUAGGGGAGUUCCCGUCGUGGUGCAGUGGAAACAAAUCCGACUAGGAACCAUGAAGUUGCAGGUUCGAUCCCUGGCCUUGCUAAAUGGGUUGAGGAUCUGGCAUAGCCAUGAGCUGUGGUGUGGGUCACAGAUGCAGCUCGGAUCCCACAUUGCUGUGGCUGUGGCGUAGGCCGGUAGCAACAGCUCCGAUUAGACCCCUAGCCUGGGAACCUCCAUAUACUGAGAGAGGCCUCGGGAGAAACCAGCCCAGCCAACACCUUCAUCUCAGACUUCUAGCUUCCAGAACUGGGAGACCAUAACUGCAUUAUGUAAGCCACUCUUCUGCCGUCUUUGGUUCUGGCAGCGCGAGCAGCCUGAUACACUUGGGCUCAGCUGUGGAAGUGGAUGGUCAUGCUGCACUUGGCCUGGGGAAUGGGUUGAUACGGGCCAUGGCCUUGAAUGCAAUGCUGAUUCUUAAAAGAACGUUUUAAAAGUGUUCUUUCGCUUGCUGGAGCCUCAGAUCAGCUAAGUCUGGCUGCAAAGGGUGACAUUUUCUAUCAGCACAGCAAAGGCUCCUUGGAGUGUGGUUUUCCCACUUGUUGCCGUGACAGGGGUGGGCCCCUCCACCUGGACUUCUUAUGUCCUCUCUCAGUAACCAAGCAUCCUUCAGUCCCUUUGGAGAAACGGUUUGCUUUUGCCUUUUGGGCUUUACUCUUUGGAAGCCACAGGAACUCAGUGUCCAAGAGGAUUUCGUGGAAGGCAAGCUGCCUUGUGGUUGUUUUUUGGCAAAUACCGAAGUUAUCUCAUUUUUUGUACUAAGACACAAGAAGUGUUCUUCUGAGUGAACCGCUGCAGGUCCCUGUAAAAAUGUCAUGAUCUUGCAAGUGUGUUUCCCUGGUAGUACAAACCCUGAUACUGAAGAAAAGAAUUCCUGAGAACGUCAUGUGAGGUUCAGCCAUAUUAUGGAAAUAGGACCACUUUCAUGGGUCCGAACACUGGAAACUAAAACGAUGAGAAAUUUUCCCCAACUCAAGCAAUAAAAUCAUUUUUUAUGCUUCAUGGAUUUUUUGGCAGUUUGCUUGCAAUUGCUUAUAGACUAUCUACUUGUUCUAGUUCAAUUUGUCUUCUCUGGAUGAAUCUGUGUGUGCAUAUUGUUCUUAAUCUUAACCCUUAUUAUAAUGUCUCCAAAUUCCAGUGGAGAUGGAGUUACUCUUCCAAACUGCUUGCUCUUGUAUCAAGAGGUGGAGGUGUUGUCCUGGGAAUCUUGUCAGGACUGAAGAUUCUCUAGAAGAGGUGGACUAGCUUCUGUUUGUCCUCUUGUCCAUUCAAGCUCAUGUGCUGGGGGCAUGAAGAGAAAAACAGACCAAGGACAUUGGAGCAUCAAUGGCUUUUAGUUUUGUGGAUCUGUUGAAACUUACAGCUAUGGCCAGUUUUGUGCUGCUUAUUUUAUUAUUAUUUAUUCUUUUAUUAUCCUGGAUUUGAGGGCUUUACACUUUCCACUAACCCAGUAUAUUUGUCUGUGUGCAUUAAUGGCCUAAGUUUGCUGUGCCCAGAGCAGCCCUCCUCGUUGCUGGGAGGUCCCCCCCCUCCCCGCUAACCUUUUACAGCUGCUCUCACAGCAGCAAAAAGUAUAUGUAAGAGGGCAGCUGUUUUGCAAGUGCUGUCUUGGUGUUUCUUCAUUUUUCUUGAUAACUCUCUUGUGCUGUCAUAACAACUGGAGCCCAGUGGUUGUGUAAGGCAGACUGUGGGCCUUUAUUUGCAGAACACAGAACUUCAGUGAAGGAUAGUGGUGUCUGCCCUUCACCUCAGGAGGUCUUACAGGAGGACAGAGUAACUAGCAGCUGUAGCUCACCGAUUUACAACAAAAAGACCAUUUCUGGCAAUAUUCACUGAAAGAAAUAAAUGUUUCAGAGCUUCGUCUGUAUAAUAGAAGCAAAAUUCAGUUCUCUAAAAAUCUGAACUUUGUCUUCUAUGUACUUGCUUUCUUCAUUUUCACAGUGAGUUACUUUGUCAUGUUUGUUUCGCCACAAUUCUAAGAUCCUGACCACAGCCAUCUAAAGGAUCAGCUUGCUUUACAAAUCUCAAGGAAUUCAGUUGAUGUUGUCUGAACUACCCAAGAAGCAAGAUGCAAAUGUUCUCAAGGUGUGCUUUCACCUCUUUGUUAAAUGCCAUACUGUAUAAUGAAAAUACAUUCAAGAAAUUAUUAAAGUAAAAAUUCGUAUGUCCUCUGGUAACAUGCUAAAAUAUGCUGUCUGUAAUAUGUAUGGUCUAUAUUUUAGGAGGAGUUUUAUGGAAUACUGAAAAUGAACAUCCCAGAAGAACAGUUUUAAGCAUAUUCAUGCAAAUAUGAUAGAGCUUAGAAGAGAAUUCUUGAGGCAAAAUAUCUGAUUCACUGAUACACUUAUUCUGUGUAUACUGUACUGUCUUCGUAGAAACUUUCACAGCACUGCAUGGUUGGGGUCAUAGAUCUGUGACAACCUAUGACAAGUCAUAUAUUACAUAGUUUAAAGUAUUGUACUGCUGUAAAUUUGGUUUGAUAAAGCUUUGCCCAAUUUAGAGGCUAAAAAGAAAUCUUCACUUUUCAAUUAAGCAAUUGCCAUGGUAAAAUGGCAUAAAACAAUUAUUUUCAUCUAAAAAUAUACUAUAGCCAUAAUUCAAGUAGGCUCAAGUAGGCUUUCAAAAAUGCUAUGCUUUUGUCUAAUUAGCGAUUGGGUUAGAGAUUUAAUGAUUUCCCUGGGAACGUUGUUCUAAUGCUCAGUAUAGAAGGUUACAUUUCAUACCUCUCUCUGCCACAGACACAAACACGUGCCUUCUGCCUCACAUACCUUUGUUUCCUGUGUCACUUACCCUUCGAGGCCAAUUUCUAGAACUUUCCACUAGGGCGGAAUGGACCUCCUCUUCCCUGAACAUCAGCAGCCUGUCCCCCACCCCUCUGUGUGAGGCUCCCUAACCCCUUUAGAAAAGAGAAACUGAAGCCUCUACUUUGCAAAUCUUCACAAUUGCCAUUUGCAAAACAACACACCCCCUGGGCGACUGAGCCAACAGACUGAAGUCAAACAUUUGUUUGAAAUCACCAAGUCAAACACAAGCAAUACUUGAAAUGAAGAGAAGCCUUACAAGGCAGCAGUGCAGAAUGUCAAAGACUAAACAUUUCUUUCUCACAAAGCCUAACUAUAGAGGUUAGCUCCCCAGGUGACCCUCAGGGGCGGGGCUAACCUGUCCGGGCUACUUUCGCUACUCCAGGACUUGUGUGUUUGAUGCCUGUGGCAUAAACGCAUCUGAAAUGCCUAAUUAAUGCCAAAGACCCCAA
rnacentral:lncRNA from 1 species